rnacentral:tRNA from 1 species
GUACUUUUAGUUUAAAGAAAACUUUAGGUUUUCGUCCUAAUGAUGUGUUGUUCACAAAGUAAG